UGGUGAUGGUGGCGGCAGUGGUGGCCAUGGAUGAGGCUGGUGGCCCUGAGGAAGACUGCUGGCCCUGAGCAUGAGGGAAGAGCUGUCCAAAGUCAAAAAGAAGGACUUUGAGCACUUGAUGAUGGAGGUGAUGCAGAUCUGGGACUUUCUGCCCAGGAUCCUCAAUCAGGAAGUCCUGGAGAGUUGCUCCAAGUUGAAGAUUGUCAACAAAUUGAAUCUCCCUGCAUCUCUAGUGGGCAUCAGCUCGGGGGUGUAUAGUUCCUUCAUUGCUGGUUCACCUUAGGUGAGCAGGAACUAAGGAGUCCAGCAAGCAAGCAUUGCGUGUCACAUCCUCUCAGCCACUUGUUCAGCAGAGAUUUCUGUGUCCUGAUCUGUGCACAGGGGCAGGCACUGGGCAGGUGAGUGGUGUGAGAACCCAGGACUGGAGAGACCAGGGUUUUCCAUCAGAAAUGAGGCUUCCUGCCUCUGUCCUUUGGCCUGGUCCCUGGACUGGGUCAGGGCUCCGAGUGGAAGUGCAGAGGUGCCACAUCCUCAGAAGGCAAGGGGAUGCCUGUUAGUGGGUGGCCCCUGCCAGCCUCUUUCCCAGGUGGAAAUAUGUGGGAUGGAGCUCCCAGACUGCUCCCGCCCUAUGAGUGUCAUGAUAGACCAGCUAGCUGCCUCAUGGCACUUGGACACUGACGGGCUAUCCUCAUGAUUUACCUCCGUUACUGUGGAUCAGCUGCUGAGGCUCAGGUCUGGGCUGGCUAGCUGCCGGGUCAAGGGGGCACACUGCAAUCACCCCAUGGAGCUGCACCACGAGACCCUUGGGAAGAGCUUGGCAGUUACCACCACAGCUUCCCAGGUCCUGAGUGUCUGAGACACAGCCCCAGCCUUCCUGGCUGUAUAGCCCAAACUACAGCACAAGGCCUGAUGCCCCGUUACAUUCUCCAGACCCAAACACUUUUAUUUUCUGGGUGUGUGGGGCCUCCCCAGGUUUAGCACCUGCCCAUUUAAGAGAGCCUUCCACCAAGGA